GUACACACUGCCGUCCACGACAGCCCGAGGCGGGGACACCGCUGUCCUCCCCUCCCUCUGAGGCCGCCCCCAGCAUGCCCCGCCCGAAGCCCCUCCUCGGCCACGCUCGGUCCCCCUCCUUUCUUUAGAGCGCACCCUGUGCGGCUUGACUGUCGUUAGGCCCUGUCUGCGUCCUGGGGCGGUGACUUUGCUCAUCCCCGGAUCUGCCGAAUCCCAGGGCCCAGCUCAGCACCCGCACCCCGAGGCGCCGAGGCUGCGUCCCCGGCGGGCGGCGGGCGCUGCGAUCUGAGAGUCGCCGCCAGAGGGCGCCCGGGGCUGGAGGGCUGACCCCGCGGGAAAGGGCCAGAGGGUCCGCACCGGGUGGGGCGGGGAGAUCCUGCCGAGCGGGCUUCCCGGAGCCGGAAGACCUUUACCAGCCUGAGGAGGGAAGCAGGAUGAGGGCAGGCUUCCCAGGAGGAUCUUAGUUCCCCGACCAGGGAUCAAACCUGUGCCCUCUGCAGUGGAAGCACAGGGUCUUAACCACUGGACCACCAGGGAAGUCCCAGGAAGUGAUGUAUGCAACACCAGGUGCAGUAGCAGCCAUCUUGCAAACAAGAGGGAAAAGCCAAGAAAUUGCAGAGUUAUGAACCCUGACAUCACUGGCCUGUCCUCUGAGCCAGGCCCGGCUAUAUCCCCACCAUAGGGGAGGGAACUGCUGCUCAGAGAAGCAAAGCAGCGUGUCCGGCCCUACGGCUACAGGAGGUGCGGCAGGAUUUGAACUCAGCCUCUCCACAGCCUGGCAGCCCUGGCACAAGCCUACUUCAGCUCCAGUCCCAGCUUCACUAGGAGGAGCUCAGAAAAGGACAGUUGCAUGAAUGAGCAGAGCCCUGGCCCAGGGCCCCUUCAGCCAGAGCCAAGGCCAGCCCUCUUGACAUUCUUCCAGCAAUGCUGAGUCCUGAGCCUGAGCCUAUGAGGACCCACUCUGCAUGUGGCCCUGGACUAAAUGCUUUCUGUCCAUCAUCUCAGUACUGUGAAGCAGUGGUUAAGAAUCCACCUGCCAACGCAGGGGACACGGGUUCGAGCCCCGGUCCGGGAAGAUCCCACAUGCCGCGGAACAGCUAAGCCCGUGUGCCACAACUACUGAGCCUGUGCUCUAGAGCCCGCGCGCCACAACUGCUGAGCCCGCGUGCCCCAACUACUGAAGCCCACGUACCUAGACCUCGUGCUCCGCAACAAGAGAAGCCACUGCAAUGAGAAGCCCGCGCACCGCAACCAAGAGUAGCCUCCGCUCGCCGCAACUAGAGAAAGCCCAAGGGCAGCAAUGAAGACCCAGGGCAGCAUGCCCCCCGCCACCAAAAAAAAUGGCCUGUCUUGGACAUUCCUGGCCGUCCAGUGGUUAAGACUCUUUGCUUCCAAUGCAGGGGGUGCAGUUUCGAUCCCUGGUUGGGGAGCUAGGAUCCCACAUACUGCGGAGCGUGGCCAAAAAAAAAAAAAAAAAAGCCUGUCUUGUUUGCAGUGUUCACCACUAUAGGGGAAAAAGCCUGAAGAGUAAUGGCCAAUAAAAACUACAAAUGUUGGGUCAUAGAUUGAAAACUAUAUAUUAAGCUGAUGCUGUUUUUUACUGUUACACUUCAUGCCCUUGGGAGGAAAUCUGAGGAAGGUCAUAGAAACUUGUUUUUGAGGCAUGAUGAGAGGUUUGGAAGAAAGGUGUUAUGCAAAUCUCAACAGAAUUAUCAGUAAAUGCUGCAAAUAUAAAAGCCUGGAGGGACUUCCUUGG